rnacentral:rRNA from 1 species
UACGGAGGGGGCUAGCGUUGCUCGGAAUCACUGGGCGUAAAGGGUGCGUAGGCGGGUCUUUAAGUCAGGGGUGAAAUCCUGGAGCUCAACUCCAGAACUGCCUUUGAUACUGAAGAUCUUGAGUUCGGGAGAGGUGAGUGGAACUGCGAGUGUAGAGGUGAAAUUCGUAGAUAUUCGCAAGAACACCAGUGGCGAAGGCGGAGACCUGGGCCGAUACUGACGCUGAGGUGCGAAAGCGUGGGGAGCAAACAGG